UUGGAAGAACAAAUAGACAAAAAUAUGCCUCUGAAGCAGAAAUGUAACUUCACAAUUUUUCCACAUCCACUGCACCGAGAAUAAGUAGAUUCAAGAAAAUGCCUAUGUGAGCCCGAGCUCACAGGAGCUCGGAAUCAGUACCAUUUAUUCAUCUCGGGAUCUAUGCCGCAGACUGUAUAGCAAUAGAUAUGUGCUCCUCGUUCUUAUUUCCCGAAAUAGCAUGUGGCCCACGGAUUAGAUAAGUCCGUCAGUUAGCUGCGACGCGGAUCAGACGGACGAGGACGGAUUGGGCCGUUUAGUCAUCGAUUCGUGCUCACCGUACCCCUCUUUUGCAUCUUCAUUCGCUUGCAACUCAUGAGCAGCAACAUUCGGUUCACCUCCUUCCCCUGCCUCUCCAACUUCGCCACCGGCGCUAACCUGAAAAAAAUCACAUUGGAUUAGCACAAUGGCUACAAUAUUAGUAGCUAUCAACGACUGGUUUGCUCAAACACCUGGAGAGAGAGCGAGGAAACCACAGAGUUCUCGCUACUCACAGGCACACGAUCAUCUCCCUGGUUAACUGACGCUUCUGAAUUUGCGUUUACCUGCAUUGGCCUACUAUCAGAUUUACAUAGUCAGGAAGAAGAGUAUUCAAGAUUCAGACAGCAUAGCAAGCGUACCUGAAUCGAACCAUUGCAGCCUUGGAG
rnacentral:lncRNA from 1 species